UCAACAGAGAUUCAAAUGGACAUCAGUCUAAUGGGUUUUGAUUCGCCGCUUUUGCACAACCUCCACCAUAUCCUUGCAGCCACCGACGACACCACCACCAACAAUAAAUCGAGCAAUAUCGGACCUACUCGCGCUUAUGUCCGUGACGCCAGAGCAAUGGCUGCAACUCCGGCUGAUGUGAAGGAGUAUCCCAACUCUUACGUCUUCGUCGUUGACAUGCCUGGUCUGAAGUCCGGAGAUAUCAAGGUCCAGGUGGAGGAAGACAACGUGUUGGUGAUAAGUGGAGAGAGAAAAAGGGAACACGAUCAGGAAGAGAAGGAAGGAGUGAAAUACGUGAGGAUGGAGAGGAGGAUCGGGAAGUUUAUGAGGAAGUUUGCGUUGCCGGAAAAUGCCAAUUUGGAGAAGAUAUCUGCGAUUUGUCAAGAUGGAGUGCUUACAGUGACGGUGGAGAAACUGCCGCCGCCGGAGCCCAAGAAGCCGAAGACGAUUCAGGUCCAGGUUGCUUGAAGAACAGAAACGGAGUUUGUAAGUGGUGAUAUUUCUUUAAAGAUUUUGGGUUAUAAGAACUAGUUGCUUAAUUGAUAACUGUAGACUGUAAUGGUUUAUUGUUUUGCUCUGUAUUUGUAGUGUUGUUUCUGUAAUAAACCUGUGGUGGUUUUUGACUUAUUUCCGGUAUCAUAAGCCUCAUGGGUUAUUUUUAUUCAAAUUCUCUUUUUAAUUUAUACCUCGUAAGGCAGGCCGGACGGAGCGGGUGCGGGGAAAGAAAGCGGGGAGCUUUCCGUCCGGCGGAACACCGCACCUUCGGCACGGGAAUGGGUUCAUUUUAUUUUUUGAAAAACUACCGUUAAUCAACGGUAAAAAAUGUAUUUUUCUUUUUGCUGUAAUGACUAUUUUUUUUUUAAUUUUAUUUAUCAUUUUACCCCUACUAUAAGUAUAUACAUAAAAUUUAACAACAUAAUAUUAUUCUCUGUUCUCUCUGCUUUAUAUCAACAAAAAAAAAUGAAUCCCGACAAGCAAACCUCAAGUUCCGAUCAACGGAAAAAAAAAGUCAUGGUUUGAGUAUAAACAUCACGCCUCGCAACAUUUUUGCUAUCGAUUCAUCCCUGCAAGGAAUUUACCGCCUCCAACUCGAUGCUCCCAUUCAAUCUCCACUACAAUUUCAAUACCAAAAUGUUGGUCAAUAUACCCGAUGCAAGUUCCAAAUGUUCCGUCGCAAAUGUUUUCAAACUUUGUUGUGUUUCCGGAUCAACAAUCGCCAAAUCAACCUCAACCCCAAACUCAAACUGAAACUCAAACCCAGACCCAACACCACCACCAACUUGUUGAUGAAUCGGAUGACGCGGAAGAAGAAGAUAUGGUUCCCGAAACUCAACCAACACCACCACCACAAAGACGUAAAGGGAAAAAACAAGUGCGCGAGGGUGUCGCACAACCGGGAAGACAAAAGCCGACAGCUUGGGUUCCACACGAAGAGCUAGUUUUGGUCAAAGCUUGAGUUGAUAUUUCUGAAGAUUCGAUUCAGGGAAACGCACAACCGGGAGAACAUUUUUGGUUUCGCAUUUUAGAACGAUUUCGAGAAGAGCUAGAAAAAUGUGAUAACUACCGUACGAAACAUCAACUUAAUUCGAAGUUUCGAGAAAUAGCAAAGGGGGUUUCAAAAAUUAACGGGUUGUACAACAACCUAAAAACCCAAUGAAAAAGCGGCCAAGGCGACGAAGAAAUAUUUCAAGAAGCGUUGCAGUUUUACCUUGAGGAAGUCGAAAACCAUUCAAGUGGCACGAUUGUUGGAAAUUAUUAGUCCGAAGUCUUAGGUGGAAAAAAUACAAGCGAGAUUUUAUUUUUGGAGUCCAACAAUCAAAGAAAACGAAAACGGGCUCUAGUGUUUACACAACCUUCUCCGAUGCUCGGGUCAGUCUUAGAUUUAAAUCAGGACGACGAACUCGAGCUAGAAGAAAUUGAACGCCCAAUGAGUAUAGACAAAGCGAAGAGAAAGGGAAAAAGGACUUAUUUGAGUGCAUCUGAUUUCAGCGUGGACAUUGACGAAAUGCGGAAGAUAACAUUGUCGUUUGAUCGAUAUAAUUUAAAUUUCUCCGAACGUUUGGCUUUCGACAAAGAUAAAGAAGAAAAAAGGAAGACAUGAAGUUUUUGAUGGAAAACGUUGAUCAUCUCUCGGGACCGACUCUCGAGCUCGUAAUGAAAAAGAGAGAAAAAAUUCUGAAAAAACUUUUUCCGUAGGUUGUUGUUGGUUUGUUUGAUUUUUAGUUUAUGUGUGUUUUUUUUAAUUUUCUACUUUUUUAUAUUUUAGGUUUAAUGUAAGUUUUAUUUUAAUUAAUGAAAUGCUUUUUAUUUUUAAUUAAAUUUUAUGUUUAGUGUUAAUUUAAAAAUUAUAAUUCAUAACAAAAAAAUUAAUUUUAUUUAAUUAAAAAAAAUGAGAGAAGAGCUUCCCACCCAUUUCUUGGCUUUUAGGUGAGGAAAAGGAGAGUGUGGGAAAGAGAGGUAUGGUCCACCAAAAGUGAGGGAAGCUUCCCUCCCACUCCUUUCAGUCUAAUAAGUUAAAAAAAAAUGAGCUUAAAUAAACUUAAGCAAACACUUUGAACCUAAUAAGUUGUUUUAAAAAACUUAGCUAAAGACCAUCUAAAUUAGGUAGAUUUGGGCUAUUUUAUGCUUUAUAUUUUAGUAUGUGUUUCAUGAGUGUUGUUUCUAGAAUUUUUUAGAGCUUAGGAGGCAUGAAAUUAAAAAGAAACAAAAGCUAACAAAAGUGCAAAGACUACACAUUUAAAAGGGUAAUCUCUAAAUAUUAUUAAAAAAGAACCCUUAAUUCACCAAUGAAGCAAUCAAGACCCUUGAUUGCAUUUCAAUCUUAUGUUUUCCACCAUUAGAUUAGAUUGAUGACAUCAUAUUCUUCAAAUAAAAUUCAAAUACAAUUAUAUUUAAUUAUAGAAUCUUUAAUAAUUAUAGAAUCUUUAAAUUCAAUAAUUACAUUAUCAUUACAACAUAUCAUUCUAUUUAUAUACGAUAUAUUAGUUUCUCUAAUUAAUAUUGUUCCUAAUUUAACUCUCUUAUUUAUAGUUUCUGGCUUCAAAAUUCAAACCCUUUAGUUUUUAUUUAUUUAUUUAUUUAUUUGAAAAAACUUAUUAAAUAAGCAUAUCAAUAAUUUGGUCAUUAACCUACAAAAUCUAAUCUAAUCCUAUUAAAUUAACAAAAUAUUUAAGAGUAAAAAAUAAAGUCAAUAUUAUUUAUAACUUAUCUCCCGGUAUAUCCUACGUAAAAUAAAUCAAUUUGAGAUAAUGAUUUUAAAUUUAAAACUUAUUAAUUAAGCAAGUCAAUUAAUUUGAAAGUAAUAAUCGGUUUGAUACAUGUUAAAUUACAAUUGCUUUAUUCCCAACCAUCUAACUCAAUAAUUGUAUGUAUUUAUUCUUAAACUUACCAUUUUUUAUAAUGUUAUUGAUUAUAUUUACUAUAUUUAAGUUUAAAUUGCAGAGAAUUUUAGUUGAAAGUGAUGAGCAUUAGUCGAUGUUUGUAUUGAAGUUUGAGGAUGAUGCAAAACUCUAAAUACCUUAGUGGUAAUAUCCUACAUAUUUAAUAAUUGAGUAUUUCGAAAAAAAAAAUUUCCAUUAACUUUAAUAACAAAUUUGUUGAAUUAAGCAUAUUUUUAUGCUUAUAAAUUUGUUUUUUCUACCCAUUUGUACUUAUCAUCUUGAAGAUGAGAAAACAUUAACCAUGACUAUACUGAAAAGUGCCAAAAAGAUCAUAUUGGUCAUAUAUUUCUGACAUAAUCUUCAAAUGUUCUUUGCUCAAUUCUUUGUUUUUUAUUUAUAUCAUUUUUGUGUAUUUGAUUUGUUUCUUCAAGAAACUCAGUUUUUUACUAAUUUUGAUAAAAAGAAAUUGUUGUAGUAAGCAUACUUUUAUGGCUAUAAAUUUGUUUUCUAUUAACAAAUCAAGUGUAAAUGAAUUUGAACAGUUGUUAAAUUUCAUAUUCUAUAAUGUAAUUAAUGCACUAAUUAAUCAAAUAAUANAAUUUCAUAUUUACAUGUCCAAGUGGUUGGGUACCUCCAGGACAAUAAGCAAACAUGCAAGUUAUAAGCACUUUCACAAUAUUGUAUUUUUUUACUAACUUUAAAUUAAAAAUUAUUUUUUUCACUUGCUUAAGAUUAUUGAUUACUCAUAUAGGUUUGUAAUAAAAUAAAAUUUUGAUAAAUUGAAAAAAUUAUUCAACAAAACCUAAUUGGUUAUAUAUCAAUUUAGGUUUCUUUUUGUGUUGUCAUGUUUGUUGAUUUGGUUAUGUACGAUUCAUUUGAAGUUCUAUUUCUUUACAAGAAUGUUAAUGUUUACAUUCAAGUAGAAACAAUUACAAUUGGUAAGUAUUCCAAAUGAUUUUUCACAUACAUUAAUCAAAAUUGUUACUUUAAAUGGUGCGUUCUCAUAAAAGUCACACCGGUUGUCACUAUACAGAUCUUCUAGCAUUCUAUAGAAGAAUCCUAGUGGCUCUAUGAUACUUUUGUUGUGUUUUCAAUGAAGGAUCACUCUAUCAACAUUCAUUUUCUAAAGUUUUUUCUCUUAUUUUUGAUAUACAUUGGUGUCACGACAAUAAGGCAGAAAGAGAUGUUAGUAACCAUUAAAGAUGAAAAUGUAAGAUAUAAUUUAAGAAUAUUAUAUAAAGUAUAAAUUGUGGAUUUGUGAUAUUUAUUCUAUGAAAAAUAUGUUGUNUUUUUUUUUUUUGGUUUUUUUUUUUUGUUUUUUUUUUUUUUUUUUUUUUUUUUUUUUUUUUUUUGUUUUUGACAAGUUUGAUCUAAAUUUAAUAAUUGAAGCAGGUAAGAAAGAUAUGUGUUAACGAUUUUGAAUUUGUAUAUUGCCCUCCAGAAACCAGCUGUAGCCUUAUAGACUGUUCCUUCAUAUCUUGGUAGGUCUUAACAUUUCCCCAAAUUUGGCUACAAGAAGUCAUGGAUGCACUUCUUGAAUCAAUCCUCAAACUGAAUUUAAUUUGUUAGUUGGAUGCAGUGACCAAAAUGCAAGAUUUGUGAAAAAUCAUUAUUAUUUAUUAGUAUUAACCUUUGGCAAAUUAUGAAACUAAUAUUAUAUUUUUGUUCAUAACAAUUUUUUCUUAUAAUAAUUUAUUUGAUAAGAAGAUAUGUGUAUGUGAUUGAGUGUAGCCUGAAAAAUCAUAUAUUAAUUCUUAUAAGAAAAAAAAAUACUUUAUAAAUUUACCAAAUUAAAAUAUCUUAAUUUUGAUGUUUAUGGUUAUGACAAUGCACUUAAACUGUAAUGUUUAUCGAAUUUCUUUUGCAGAAUUUAAUGUUGCCGGUAAAUAUAACAACUUAUUGUUGCUUUUGGUUUACAAUGCCAAUAUGAAAGAGUCAUGUGAGCCUCCAUGGAGAUUGGUACACCGGACACAGUCAAUUCAUAAAGCUACUACACAACAUGUUUUAAUCAAGAAGUCGCAUCAUGUUGUGAUAAUAUAAAGAUCACGUGGAUCAUUUAUGUUAAAAAUUAUUGUAUUAAAAAAUCAAAUUGCUCUAAUAUAAAUAUUAAAUAUUUUAAUUUAAUAAGUUUGGUUCAAAAAGUCUAAAAAUGAAUCUAAGUAACAUUUUUUAUUAAAAUUUCACCUAAAACAAUGUCACAUGUAAUAUGUAUUUAAUUUAUGUUCUCCGCGUUUAACGCGGGUCAUAAUCUAGUAUUUGUAAUAUAGAUAAUGUAGUUUUUAAUUUGUAAUAUUUGGUCAUUAAGUUUAUUAAGUUUUUUUUUUUUCUGUAUAUAUUUAUCCUUUCAACUUGUUUAAAUUGUUCACGUUCAGUCUUUAUAAACGAGUAUUCCAAAUAAAUAUAAACGGAAAAAAAAUUUAUUGAUCAAAUAUGUACAUAUAUUACAUGUUAUGUUUUGAAGAGUGAAAUGUACCGGUUAAUUCAAAUGCAUUUUACCUUUAUGUUUCGUCCAAACAAUAAACAAAGUUUAAUAUCAUCUAAUAAUUUUUAUUUCUCAUUAAGCUUCACCUUUCUGAAGAACAACCUCAUUUUUGGCUUUCCAUGUUAUCAAAAUCAUUAAAACUGCAUCAGCGAGAAUCCUAGCCUUCGAAUUCUGCUUAGAGUUUGAAUUCAAAAACACCAACAUGUCCUCUAGGGAGCCAAUGGGACGAGCGGCCCAAUUCCACAUCAAAUCAGCAACUAAGGUCCAGUUCCAUAAUAUUUUUAUAUCUCGGAUCGGUUUCGAAAGAAUCGGUUCUUUUUGUGGUUGGUUUUGGAGCGGUCCGGUUUUUUUUGGGACAUGUCUCCUCCAGACUUGGGGCGGUCCUUUUUCGGUCCGGGCCUUUUUUUACAUCGGUUUUUUUGGUCCGAUCUUUUUUGUGACCGGUCGCGGUUUUUUUUCCGGUACGGUCGCGCUGUCUUUUUGUGCGCCGUUUUCGGUUCGGUUUUCGGACUUUUCGGUUGGUUUUUGGGUUUUUUCGUUCCUAUUUUGUUAUUUGUUGCUUUUUUUUAGUUUCAAUUUCGAGUUUUUCCUUUAACAAAUGUGCGAUUAACAAUAAAAUGAUAGAUUAAAAUUUAUUAAAAAUGAUAUACUAAAGUUUAAUAAAAAAAAGGAAUGAAGUUAGAUAGUGUAGGAUUAAAAUUUUUGUAAAUAACACAAAAUUGAUAUAUUUAUAAACUUUGGCUAGCAGUCUUUUUUGAGAUCAGUCUCCAGUCUUGGGUCGGUCUCGGAUGGGUCUUGUGUCGGUCUCAAAACGAUCCUCUCUUUUUGGGACUUGUCUCAAAACGGUCCGUUUUUUUAACGGUCUCGAGCCGGUCGUUUUUAGGACCGGUCUUUUUCCGGUCCAGUUUUAUUAUAGAUCGGUCCGAUCUCGGUCUUUUUUUGGGUUCGGUCCGAGACAGGUUUUUUUGUGCAGGUCGCAGGACCAAGUGUAGAAGCCACAUGGAUUGUCUUCGGACCAUAUUUGUGGUUAACAAGAACCUAUUAAGAAAAAAUCUCCAUAUAAACACUUGACUUUAAUCCAGAGCCGAUUUUAAAAGCAAACAAAUUACAAUUAUAAAAAAAUACAGUUUCAACAAGAAAUAAAAUGAUUAAACCGUAAAAAUGUUUUGCAAGUUACCGGUCCAAACCCACAAGAACUUGUUGUGAGUCUUUUUGCGAUGGGGAUGAGAACACCCGUUUCUUUCAUGGAAUGUUAAAGAACAAAUAUAGCAAAAGCAGAAUUCACGACAUCAAUAUAAACGACUCAUGGUCCUCCGAUCCGCAAGAAAUUAUGAAGGAAGUGUUUGAGUAUUACAAUGCCAAAUUUCAUGAACCUGUUCCCAACAUACCUAAGUUGAUCAACCCAUUUUUCAAAAAACUACAUCCUUCUCAAUGCUCUCUUAUCGAAUCCCCUUUCUCAAUCGAAGAAAUCAAAGCUGCCAUAUGGGGCUGUGGUGCCGAGAAAGCUCCUGGGCCUGACGGGUAUACGUUCAAAUUCAUAAAGGAGAAAUGGGAAUGCAUGAAAGAUGAUAUAAUCCGGUAUAUCCGACAUUUUGAAAAAACUAGAUUGUUCUCGAAGGGGUGCAAUUCAUCAUUUAUAACUUUGGUUCCAAAGGUGAAAGACCCGAUCUCGCUCACAGAUUAUAGACCCAUCAGUCUUAUAGGGUGUAUUUAUUAGAUCGUUGCUAAAAUCUUAGCUAAUCGUCUAAAAGGGGUUAUUGGAUCGGUCGUUGAUGAAGUACAAUCAACAUUUAUAUGUGGCAGGAAUAUACUUGACAGUCCUCUCACUAUGAAUGAAAUUUAUAAUUGGGCAAGAAAAAACAAACUGUCGAUCUUCCUCUUCAAAGUAGAUUUCGAGAAAGCAUUUGCUACAAUAAACUGGAGCUACUUGGACUCAGUGAUGGAACAGAUGGAAUUUGGGAAUAAAUGGAGAAAGUGGAUCUUUGGGUGUUUAUCAUCAGCAAGAGCUUCAGUUUUAGUAAACGGGACUCCUACGGAUGAAUUCCAAGUCACUAGGGGUGUGAGGCAGGGUGAUCCCCUCUCGCCUUUUCUCUUUAAAAUCGCUAUGGAAGGACUACAUAUGGUAAUUCAAGGUGCUGUUGACAGGUCACUUAUUCAAGGGGCGAAGCUACCGAAUAGUGGGCCAACAAUCUCACAUCUGUUUUACGCAGAUGAUGCCAUUUUCUCAGGAGUCUGGGAUUCCAGAAGCAUUAGAAAUCUAUCUAGGAUUCUCAAAUGUUUUGAGAUUUCGUCAGGGCUUAAGGUUAAUUUCCAAAAAUCUCGUCUGUUUGGUAUGUGUGUUCCUGAGUAUGAAAUACAAACCAUGACGCAAGUUCUAGGAUGUCGAAAAAGUGCUUUUCCUUUCACGUAUCUCGGGGUGCCCGUGGGAGCAAACAUGCUAUUAAAAAACAAUUGGAAACCGGUAAUCAACAAAUUUCAAGCAAAAUUAUCAAACUGGAAAGCAAACUGCUUAUCAUUUGGAGGCAGGCUCACUCUGAUCAAGUCGGUGCUGGGAAGUUUGCUUACGUAUUAUCUCUCUUUAUUCAAAGCACCACAAGGUGUCUUGGAUGAAUUGGAAAAACUUAGAAGAAGGUUCUUGUGGGGUAGUACAGAUGAAAAAAGAAAAUUGCACUGGGUUGACUGGAAUUUGGUGACAGCAAAUAAAAAUAAUGGUGGACUGGGGGUUGGUACACUAAAAGCCCAAAAUAUUGCACUGCUCACCAAGUGGUGGUGGAGACUUAAAAACGAAUCCGACUAUAUUUGGACUGAGGUCAUUAACAGCAUUCACAACUUCGACAAGCACCCAGCCUACUAUCUUACCAAGAAAAACGCAACUGGAGUCUGGAGUAAUAUUUCAAAAGCAAUUUCGAGUCUUCUGAAUUAUAAUAUCGACCCAACCAGUUUGUUCUCCCUGGUGCCAGGUGCGAAUAUUAAAAUACUCUUCUGGAAGGACAUCUGGUGUGGAGAUAUCCCCCUGCAGGCCAAAUUUCCAUUGCUCUACAAUCUUGAAACAGUCAAGAGAUGCUCCCUGAUGGAUAGACUGUGCAGAUCCGGGUUUGCAUGGAAUUGGAGAACCACUUCUUUUGAUGCUGACUCUCUUCUAGAGUUACAUGAAUUUCACAAGUUGGUUGGAUCAGUUAACUUCAGUCAAUCAUUCAAAGUUGGUUUCCGUUUCAAACCCAAUCCAGAUGGAAUCUACUUGGUGAACAGCCUAAGGCGGGAGGUGGACUCGAAAAUCAUCCAGUAUAAAGGACCUUUGAUCCUUUGAUUUGCUGGGCAAAAAGCAUACCUUUAAAAGUCAAAUGCUUUAUAUGGAGGGCUGUUAUGGGAAAAAUUCCAGUAGCUGAUGCGCUAAUUCAAAGGGGUAUAUUGGUCCAAAAUAGGAUUUGUCCAAUGUGUGGUACUUGUGAUGAAACCUCUAAUCACUUACUGAUUGGCUGCGAUUUCUCAAAAACAGUUUGCUAUUGGAUUUUCCGGUGGUGUGGUAUUCAACAUGGGCAAUUUGGGAAUGUAAGAGAACUAAUUGAUUUUGCUGCAACAUGGGGGAAUAGUCCCAAGAAAAGGCAUUUGCUGAGCAUGAUAAUAUACUCUACCAUUUGGAACAAUGGCUGACCAAGAAUGAUAGACUUUUUAAAAAGAUUGGAGUAAAUCCUACAAAGACUGCAGAUUCCAUUAUUGCUCAAACUUUUGAAUGAAACAAGUAUAGGAGUAAUGGAAUGGAAAGCUGGACGGAAUGGAGAUGCUCACAUUUUUCUCUUUUUUAGUUCAAAUUGUUAAGCAAAAUGAUGUUGUAUUGUUUGUUUAUUACUCUUUGGUUUGUUUGGUUUCUCCCUUGCUCAGUUUCUUGCUGCUGUCUUGGUUUUCAUAUAUACAAUUAUUCGCCGUUUCCAAAAAAAGAAAGCAAUAGUAAAAUCGUCCAAUUGUUUCGAUUUAGCGAACCUCUUUCCUCUAAAAAAAAAAAUUCCAACUCCAAGACCAAGAGAUAUGAAAAUUGUAGGAUAUAACAAUUUUAUCACUAAUCAAGGAAAAAAAUUUCGGACUCAGCUAUGGAUAAUCUCGAAAAUCUAUUUUUAAGAGUGGACCCCUUAACCAUUUUUGUCUUUCCAAAGCAAUGUGUUUUUGCCGUUGUUAAAUUUUUGAAUGAAUAAAUCAUAAAUAUUUUUUCCAUUUCUACCAAGUCUUCGUUUAUCUUGACUAGGGGUGCAAACGAGCCGAGCCGAGCCCGAGCUCGUUUAAGUUAUAUGAGGCUCGAGCUCGAGCUCGGCUCGAUUUGAGCUUCUUGUAUUAAGCUCGGCUCGAGCUCAUAAAUAAUUAUACAAGCUCGACUCGGGCUCGUGAUCGGCUUGUUUUUUGUCUGACGUGCCUAAAUAAGCUUAAGCUCGGCUCGAGCUCGUUAAGAAGCUCGUUUACUAAUACCCUAAAUCCCUAAUCCCCAAAUAUGUUUUUAUUUUAAUAUAUAAAAAUAAUAAUAAAUUAUUUUAUAUAAAGGCUCGUUUAGGCUCGCGAGCCUAAUCGAGCUUAGUGACAUAGGCUCGAGCUCGAGCUCGUUUAAUAAACGAGCUUAAUAUUAAGCUCGAGCUCGGCUCGGGCUCGUUUAAAAUCGGUUUCGAUUCGAGCUUUUAACGAUCCGAUCCUAAGUAGCUUACGAGUAGUUUGGCUCGUUUGCACCCCUAUGUGUAACCAUCAAUAGUGUANUUGUUUUUUUUUUUUUUUUUUUUUUUUUUUUUUUUUUUUUGCCAUGAGACAAUUAUCAUGCCCAUUAAAAUUAUGAAGCUUUUGGAUUACUCUAGAACAAAGGCAAUGAGAAUCAAUUUUCUAGAUGUGUUUCGAACGCUGAAAAUUAAAGAAAAAUAACUUGGAGUCUUCUGAUUAUAAUAGUUAUAAAAAAUUUAAAAAAUAAUUGUUUGAUUUAAUAAGAAGAGUAAAUUACACGAAUGGUCCUAUGAUUUGAGGAAAUUUGCACGCUUGAACCUUAACUUAUUUUUUUAACUCGGAAAGUCCUUAUUGUUUGUUUUUGUUACGCGCUUGGUCCCUACUGUUUGUUUAUGUUAUGCGUUUGGUCUCUAUCUUACCUAAAAAGAUUAUUAUUUAAAUAGAGAAAAACGGAGGGGUAUGUAAGGUAAGGUGAGAGGUGGGUUGGGGGUGUGUUUAUUUAAAUAAAUUAAAAAAAUCAAAGGGCAAAAUAGUGUUUUUAGGUAAGACAGGAACCAAGCACGUAACAAAAACAAACAGUAGGGACCUUCCGAGUUAAAAAAAAUAAGUUAGGGAUUAAAUGCACAUAUUAUCCUAAACUGUAGGGACCAUUCGUGUAAUUUAAUCUAAUAAUAAUAAUUUCUUACAGCAUCUUUAAUGGUUAAGCUAUAUUAUAACUUCCACCUCAUUAUUCCAUUAAUUUUAACCUCUAAAUAAAUAGUCUCUCCAAUGGUUAACCUCUCCGACUAGCUUUUUCUUUAAAUUUAAUUAAUCUAUCAUUAUCUAUUUAAAAUGUUCUAUAUAACUCCCUCCAUUUAGUUAGUUAUUUUUAAACACACAUUGUAUUAAACACAUUUUUAUAAUACCUCUAAAAGUUCGUAAGAUGUCACAAAAUAUUUAAUAGAUAAAUUAAAUAAAAUGACAAAUCAAAUUAACUACUAAAUAAAUAAAUAAAUUGAAAACUAAAAUAUAAUAAAAGGGUAAAUUAAAAUAUAAUUAGAAGAUGACGGGGCAAAAUAUAUAAAAGGUUAAACUAUACUGACCACUCAAUAUAUAUUGAGUGGUCAAUAAAAAUAAGCAAAAAAGUGAUGUGCUCCAAUAGGAAUAAAUGCUCAUUUAUAAAAAGUCAAUAGUAAUAAGUUAUAAAAAAAAACUUUCAUUAGAGAUGCUCUUAGAUCAUAACUACAUUAUAUCAUUUGGCCAUAAGGUAUACAUGACAUGAGUACUUGUCGUGGCCAAGUGGCAUGAAUGCCACGAUCGUGCACACCAUCCUAGUGGUGUCAUUAUGCAACAGUUGUGGUCCUUUGUUGUAUUUACCAUGAGAGGCAAAGCCCAAUGAGAAGAUUUGUGUACAUUUUAAUGUUUUGACGUAUAUAUUUAACUACCGUUUUGAACUACUCGAAUGUAAAAAAAAAAUUAAAUUUAUUUAUUUUUACAAACUUAACAUAUAAAUUUACUGUUUCAUUACACAAUUUUUCACAUCAUUCUUUUUUCAUCUAUUAUAUACUCAUACAUAGAACAAAAUGUCAACACUCUACCAAGAAACACAAACCGGAAUGUUGACGUAUUGUUUCGUUGGACACUAAGAGAUUGGAUUCACCACAAGGUGGUUUCAUGAACUUUCUCGAAAGCACCCUUAUCCCAUAACAACCACUUUUCUAACAACCUUUUACACAACAAUGUUUAUUCCAACAACCUUAUCGGUACGCUUUUAUAUACCAACAUCCUUCCGUACAACCACAACAUUCGCAACCACAACCAAUUCUCCUGAUGUAGUACCACAAACACAAUUCGAUCAACCAAAACCAUCAAAGAGAAAAGGAAAAAAAAUGAUCCAAUAGGAACAUGAACUUGGACGGAAAAUAAAGAAACCAAUUUAGCUAAUGCCUAGAUUUCAACUAGCCAAUACUCGAUCAAAGGAAAUGCUCAAAAGACAGCUUUAAUUUGGGAAAACGUUCGUAACAUCUUCCAUGACCUAAGAGAGCAAGUGGUUUAUUGGACAACCGACUAGAUAACGAGGUUAAGAAAUUGAAUUCAAUGGAAUUCAAAACAACCUCAAGAACAUACAUAAGUAUAAGGCCAACGAUGUUGACAUCUUCGUCGUGACGCUCAAACAAUACCAAGAAUCUUACCUACUCAUAAACCUUUUCCCUAUGUUAAUGCUUGGUAUGAGUUGAAGAAGUGUCAGAAAUGGCUUCUUGUGAACAAAUUGAUUUCUUCUGGUUCAAAACGUUAAAGGAAAGCCCAAUAACGUAACCACUCAAAACAAUCGGAUAGGUGAAUAUUUAUCAGCAUGAACGAUAAUUCGAAGGACCUUGAAGUAGAAAAACCUCUAUGUGGAUCGAUAGGAAGGAGUAUAGCGAGGAAAACAGCUUCUGGUUCGUGUUGAUAAAAUCCAGAGGCAAAAAACAUCGAUCACUCUAAAGAUAAAUUUGACCUAUACGUCCAACUUAUGGAGGAAGCAGAAAAAAAAAUCAAAGAAAUGAAAUCUAGAAAGCAAAAAAAGAACGGUACGGAAAAUUUUAAGAUGAAAGCCGACGAUUACGAAUGGAAGGAUCUACAGAUAUUUCUUGUGAUGAAAGGAAGCAUCUAAGCAAAAUAUUAGACUAUAUGUAUGAACACAUUCCAACUCAAAUGAACCAUUCAUUUGAAAUCCUUUGAGUUGUAUGCACAAUUAUCCGCAAGUAAUUGUGAUAUAGACGUUUGUAUACUUCCGUACGAUUUCUGUAUAACCUCACACUUCUUUUUCGUAGUGUGACUUCAUUUUUUUUUUCUUAUACUUCAUUAGUGUAAUACUCGUAUAUCAUGAUGUUUAACAUAUCAUCAUCAUUAGAAGACGAGUCAAACAGAUCUAUAAUAUAAAAAUAUGUUGGAAAUUUUUGUAAGUAGAUAGCCAAAAUGGUGUGUAAAAAUAUUAAGUGAGUAUUAUAUUUAUAGACGUACAAAGAUAUAUAUAUUUUUUUCUAAAAUUGAUCGUUAAACGGUCCAUUUGACCGUUUGAAUUGACCUCCAUACGUGUAGCCUUGCGCCGAGUUGUCAACAUGUUAUGAUGGGGCGGUGCCAAGUAGCUCAACAGCAUGGAGGGAGCCCAACUCAUCUCCUCCGUGCUGUUUUCGUAUCAUACCUAGCAACCUUAAAAAAUUGCAAGGAAGGGAGGGUGAUUUUGGGAAGACGAGAUGAAGCUCUCGUGGUUGUGGUGAGGAUGAGAAAAGCUAUAGCGUAGGGAAGUGACGACCGGAGAAAUUUAGAGGGAUCGUCUGCAGAGGAAAUAGAUUCAUGCUCAUUUUGUUUCAUAAAAAAACGUGCACAAAACUCAAUAAAACCAUAUACAUAAUGCAUAUUUUUUUUAUUAACCAUGCUAGAUUUAUUGUAUUCUAAUUGCUUUUUUCUAGUAAUGGUUUGUGUUUUAAUCCUUUUAAUAAUAAUAAAUUAAAUAAAUAUAUGAAAGAAAUUGAAAAGUGAUUAUUAAGUCAUUUUGUUUGAUUGUUCUAAAAAAAUAUUAACCAUUUCGUUAUUUUCGUAAAUCCAAAAAUCAAAAUUUACCGUUAUCAACUCAUUCUUUGCUUUAGACUUGUAAUGUUAAUUUCACAUUUUUUUUGAACCAAAUUAAAACAAAAAAUCACAACAUGAAUACAUGAUAGGAACCACCAUUAAAGUUUUCAUUUGAUUAAAAUAUUUAUUUAAAUAAUAUAGAAAUUAUAAAUACUAUUUUUAUAGUAAGAUUUUUUUACGACAAAGACAGAAUUAUCGGGUAUUGGAUAUCAAGAAACCUCAUUCCCCCGUGUCAAAAGAAGCUGCUAGAAGCUCCUCGUAUCCGUUUCCUCUUUUCCCUUCUUUCUAGAAACUACUUUUACUUCUUCUUCCUCUAGACUCUGCCAUAUAAAUCCACCUUAAAGAUGUUUGAUUCGUCAUUCUGCAACCACACAACAUCUCGACUAGUACUUUAUCCUUCAAUUGCGCUCGAAUUUUGGAGAAAAGGUAAUCAACCGAAAUCGAUAUGGACAUCAGUACUCUAAUGGGUUUCGAUUCGCCGCUUUUGCACAACCUCCACCACAUCCUUACAGCCACCGACGACACCACCACCAACAACAAAUCAAGCAAUGCCGGACCUACUGGCGCUUACGUCCGUGACGCUAGAGCAAUGGCUGCAACUCCGGCUGAUGUGAAGGAGUAUCCCAACUCUUACGUCUUCAUCGUCGACAUGCCUGGUCUGAAGUCCGGAGAUAUCAAGGUCCAGGUGGAGGAAGACAACGUGUUGGUGAUAAGUGGAGAGAGAAAAAGGGAACACGAUCAGGAAGAGAAGGAAGGAGUUAAGUACGUGAGAAUGGAAAGGAGGAUCGGGAAGUUUAUGAGGAAGUUUGUGUUGCCGGAGAAUGCUAAUAUGGAGAAGAUAUCGGCGAUUUGUCAAGAUGGAGUGCUUACAGUGACGGUGGAGAAACUGCCACCUCCGGAGCCAAAGAAGCCGAAGACGAUUCAGGUCCAGGUUGCUUGAAGAACAGAAUCUACUUUAUGUUGUUUUGCUCUGUUUUUGUAAUGGUUUGCUCUUUUGCUCUGUUUGAUCUCGUAGUUAUAAUCAAUCUACUGUUGUUGGUUUUUAAAGUCAAUAUUUGGUCGUUUUGUUGUACUUCGGUUUGUAACAAUUUAAAUGUGAAAUUAAAAUGGUUUCUUUGUAAUUAUGUGUGUGUCAGUUUUGUGCCCCAAUUUGCAGAAAUAAAUUUUAUAUACGAAGUAAUGGCAUGGACACGUUCGUUAUAUUAAACACAUAAAACGAAUGGAAUCGAAAAUCGGAUUAAAAAUUAUUUUAACUGUAUUUAAAUGCUUUUAAAAUUAAAUUAAGUGAGUUACUAUUUAAACUAGUAGAAAACUCGUGAUUGGCAAAGUGACUGAUUUUUUUUUGUAUAACCAUAUAAAAUCACUUCGACCAUUGUUAUACCAACCGUGUAAUAUCACAUUCUCUGUUACUAACAUACAAUACCUACUAUUAAUAUAUCAAUCCAUAUCAUUAUUUUUAUUUUUUUAAAUUUAAAAAUACAAUAAAAUUACAUUUUUAAUAAUUAAAAAAAAAUCAUUUUUAACUAGUUUUUCAUUAAUUAUAAAAAUAAAAUUAUAACUUCAAACUACUUUACUUAAUUAAUCUAGAAAUAAAAAAAAAAAAAAACAUUACACAAAUUAAAAAAAAACAAACAUACAUACAAAAAAACUAAUAUUUGUAUAUUUUAUGUUGGUACAAAUAUUCUACGACAUCUUCUCGAAGAUUGAAACACAUUUCAUUGUUAUGAAUUUCAACAACUCGUUCUAAAAACUCAUUCGUUCCAGGUACGAACUCAUCAAUCAGAAUGACAACUUCGUUCGGAUCAUACGUGUAAAUCGUUCGACCUUCAUCUUCAAUAAUCAUAUUAUGCAUUAUAAUACAUGCUAGGACCAUUUGUUUGAUUCUUUCUUUAUCUCAGAGUCGUGUAGCAUAUUCACCACAUGUCAUGUCUGCCUGAUGACUCCAAAUGUCCUUUUGAUAUCCUUUCUCGCCGAUUCCUGUUUUUCUGUAAACAAUUUUGCCUUUUCACUUUGAGAAACCGAGUAUGCCUUCAUUAAUAUAAAAUAAUUCGGGUAUAUCCCAUCACCAAGGUAGUAACCGUAUUUGUACGCGUGUUCGUUUACCGUAAACGUCAUAUCAGAUGCUUUGUUAGUCCAAAUAUCGUUGAAAAUAGGAUAUUGGCCAAGAACAUUAAUGUCGUUGUUAGACCCCGCUACUCCGAAGAAGGCAUGCCAUAUCUAUAAAUGUUGAGAUGCAACAGCUUCUAGGAUGAUAUUUGGUUUACCUAUAUCUCUUCGAGUGAACUAACCACGCCAUUCAUUUGGACAUUUUUCCCAAGCCACAUGCGUACAAUCUAGACUGCCAAGCAUACCUGAAAAUCUAUGCCUCUCUUCAUGAGCUGAAUAUAAUCUCUCAAUAUCAAGUUGACUAGGUUUGUGCAAAUAUUGUUCGUGAAAAACUUCAUAGACGCAUGCAGAAAACCAAUCUACACAUUCAACUGCAGUCCUUUCGGAGACUUUCAAGUAUUCGUCCGAUGCAUCAAAUGUUAUACCGUAUCCCAAAUACCUAAGAGGAGCCGCACAUUUUUGUAUACUACUAAAACCCAUUCUUCCUCUAACGUCGGGUUUUUGUUUGAAAAAAUCAUAGCGAGAUUCUAAAGCAUUACUAAUACGUAAAAAUAUAGCCUUAUUCGGACAGAAACGACGUUCGAACGAGUCAUCAUUAUAAAGAUAAUUAUCGGCAAAGUAAUCACAUACCAAUAAGUCGUGUGCGGCUUGGCGAUCACGAUUGACGACCGCUCUUGUACAAGCAACAUUCGAACUUUCUUCGUUGUGAAUGUGUUGAACAAUAUUGAAGAAUGUCUCGACAAAUUCUAUAUUGUCAUCUGAGUCAAAAGUUUUUAAGAAUUCCAUGUGUUUUGUGGAAUCCAUGUGCAUGUGCUUUGUAGUUUUAGAGAAUGAAGGUUUUAGAGAAUGAAGGUGUAAGAUUUGGUGAAAAUGGAAGGUUUUAAUUAUAUGUAUUAAAUUGAGUUUGAAAAAAAAAUACCAAAUAGUCGUUCAACGAUCGAGAAAGCGAUACACCAAUCAAGUUUUGCGUUUAAAAUCGCCGUCGGCAACAUGAUGCCUAACGACCAUACCCGGCCACGAUUUGUCGGGGUGCUGUGCAUGGAUAUUUCUCGUGGCCACAUGGACCACGGAUGCUCUCGUUGAGAGUAUACCAUAUGGCCUUAGUUCAAAAGAUAAAACAAAGGGAUAAUGACUUAAAAUGGUAAUACAUUUUUCUAUUUGUAUACAUUUGGUCACUGAGUUUUUUUUUCCUUCCACAUUACCCUUUCAACUUGUUAAAUUGUAUACAAUUAGUCCUUAUGACCGGCUACUCCAGGUCAGCCGGUAAAAAUGACUUAAUAGGGUAAUACAUUUCUCAUUUUGUAUACAUUUAGUCCUUAAUAUUUUUGUACAUAUUUAAUAUUUUUUUUGGUGCAAAAUAAGUCAAUUUUGUUUUUUAUAUUAAUUUAGUAUUUAUGAAUGAUUUCUUUAGGUUUUUCUCACGAAAUCUUACAUGGGACAGUCAUUAAUGAGAUGUUUUGGGGCUUUUGAUGCUUAUGUCCAUCGCGAUCUCAACUACUUGGUUACUUAGAUCAUUUGUUCUAAACGUCAUCACUUCUUCAUACGAUCUCGGUUUUUAAUGAUCUUUAUAUCCAUGUGUUUGUAUUUUAGUCUACUACACCUUUCCUUUAGAUUACUCUCGUUAAAGUAAUAUAUUUUUUACUUAUAAUCUUUAUAUCAAUACGUUUUUUAUGAAUACAUGUAUGGAUGUUUUUUUAUAAAAUCGUAAGUAAAAAUAUAUUACAUUUUAACGGGAGUAAUCUUAAUGAAAGUUAUAAUAGACUCAAAAAAACGAACAUGUGAAUAUAAAGAUCGUUAAAAUAUGAUAUCGUGUGAAGAAGUUACGACGUUGAGAACACAAGACCUACGCAACCAAGAAGUCAAGAUCGCGAUAAACAUAAGCAUCAACAACACCAAACACCUCAUCAAUGAUUAUCACACGUAAGAUGUCAUGAGAAAAACCUAAAUAAAUCAUUCAUAAGUACUGAAUGAGUACAAAAACAAACAUGACUUAUUUUGAAACAAAAAAUAUCAAGGACUAAAUGUGUACAAAAAUAUUAAGAACUAAAUAUGUACAAAAUGAAAAAUAUAUUACCCUAUUAAGUCGUUUUUCUUGACUAACCUAGAGUAACUGAUCAUAAGGACUGAAUGUGUCCAAUUUAACAAGUUGAAGGAGGUAAUAUAGACGAAAAAAACUCAGUGACAAAAUGUAUACAAAUCGAAAAAUAUAUUACCCUUUUAAGUCAUUAUUGAUGGGUUUUAAGCAUAAGAACAAUCAUAUGUGCUCAUACAAACCCUAAUGCUUGGAUCUAGAUUUCUCUAUUGUACAUGCUUUGAAUCCAAGACUUACAAACCUAGAUCUAUCAUAUAUAAUUCAAAUUAUCAUAAGGAAAAGCAUAUCUAAGUGAUUUACCUUUUUCAAGUAGCUUGAAUCCUUGCAAUCUUCUUGAUCUUGAGCUUAGAGUCACAAUUGUAACUCAUCUAAUGGUUCACAAACCCCACAAGCAAGAAGGCAAUAUGAGAGAGGGUGAGAGAUGCUAGAAAUCGGCCCUAGGGUUCUCUUAGAAGCAGGUGUAGCCGAUUUCCAUAACCUGGGGUCUUAUUUAUACUUGCAGGCUGCUAGGGUUUCAGUCUAAACCCUAAUGGACAACUUAGCCACCAAGCAGCCCAAGGAACCUUCUGGAAUAAGGCCUUGGACGAAAAUAUGAUGGAUCCCCAUCAUAAUUUCGUUCCCCCUUUAGUCCAUUAGGUUUCCUUAACCCAAAACUCAACUAUCACACAUUUGACAGUUUAUACCCCUUUAUUUAAUUAAUCUCUUUUAGUCAUCAAAUUAAUUCCUAAUUAAUUUAUGACCAAUACUAAUUAAAUAAAUCUGAUUUCUCCUUUAAUAUAUUAUUCUAAUAAUAUAUUAAUAAACCAUAAUAUUUUCUCUCUCUCUCUCUCUCUCUCUCUCUCUCUCUCUCCUUAAAUUACCUUGUCAAGUUGCUUUGGUGAAGGCAACCCAAAAGGACCAUGCACAACCGGGUCAAGUACAUACCAAAUAUAGUUACGGGCUUAGACACUAAUCCAAUAGUCUCCCAUUUGGAUAAGUCUAGUAACUAUAAUGUAAGUAAAUUCCGAUUAGCAAUCGUAGCUCUCAAAGACGUUGUCGCAAUCUGAUCUUAUCAGUAACCUGUCCUUUAGAUAAGUGAUUGUACAGUCCUCUAUUCUAGAUAUCGUGUGGACAAUCACAGAGAACAUAGUCAUACUUAUUGUCCAGCAGUUUGUUUUUCUCGAUCUCAGAUUCAUUUGACAUAGAACUUAAUUGAACACAUCAAUUCAGUCCUGACAGGGCCCGACACAUAAGUCAAAUCAAAUCAUCGAGGGGCCCUGAUAUCGCUUUUACCCUCUUAGGAUAAAAGGAACAUAUAAACUUCGACUUAUAUGCAUUUACUAUUCACUAAUCAAAUCAUACACAACAAUGCGUUUUAUAACAUCAAGUUACUGAUGCGUUUUCGCAUUAUCAAUGCACAACCAAUCAGCAAACAAUAAACCAUAUAUCUAGGUUUUAAGACCAUAUGAUAUUAUCGUCUUGCGAUCACUCGUGAUAAAUUCCAUGAACUGAUUCCAGCAAGCGCGGGUUUAUUCCAAUGUUCAAAACUUGUUCAUAAGCACUCAUGAAUGUUGUAGCAAACCUUUGCUAUGUCUAAUACCUUUUAGACAAUCUACACACCUAUUCAUGACAGUCUUCAUUCAUAUCUACUUCCAACAUAUGAACGACUGUGGACCAUUCAAAUAAUUCAAUUAUUCUUAAUAACUCAAUUAUUCAGGAAGUCAAAACAUGCAAAGUGAAACAAUAGUUAAACAAUUAACAUAAGACAUUAGUUUUACUUAUAAAUAAUACUCCUUUAUUUAACCAUCAAAUGUCAAUUACAUUUAUCUAUUACAUGUUUCCAAACUAUCUAAUCUAAACUAAUGUCAUUCUUUAUCCCGAUGCUCCUAGCAUGCUGCAAGUGUUUAACCCUACUCAGUCCCUUCGUAAGCGAAUAUGUUGGGUUAUCCUCUGAUGAUACCCUCUUUACUAUGAGGUGUCCUUCUUCUACACGAUGUCGAAUAAAGUGAUAUUUUCUGUGGAUAUGUCGAGAUCUACCAUGAUCCCUUGGUUCCUUGUUUAAGGAAACCGCUCCUUCAUUAUCACAGACAAUUUCCAUAGGCUCCUUUAUGGCAGGUACAACUCCAAGGUCUCCAAUGAAGUUCUUCAACCAUAUCGCCUCUUUUGACGCUUCACUCAUUGCAAUGUACUCUGAUUCGCACUUUGAAUCAGCUACGGUUUCUUGCUUGGAACUUUUCCAAGUCACUGCUCCUCCAUUAAGGGUAAAGACCCAGCCCGGCUACGAAUGGUAGUUCUCCCUGUCGGUCUGAAAGCUGGCAUCACUAUACCUUCGCACCUUUAAUUCAUCACUCCCACCGAGGACUAGAAACCAUUCCUUGGUCCUCCGAAGGUACUUAAGAAUGUUCUUGACUGCGGUCCAAUGUGCUCUGCCAGGGUUCCCUUGAUAUCUACUGACCAUGCUCAAGGCAAAGGCCACAUCAGGGCGAGUACAAGUCAUGGCAUACAUAAUCGAGCCAACUGUGGAAGCGUAUGGUACUCUGCUCAUUUCUGCUAUCUCGACUUUGGUACUCGGGCAUUGAGUCUUACUCAACUUGGCAUUACUUUGGAUUGGUAACUCUCCCUUCUUUGAGUUUUCCAUACUAAAACAUUUUAGUACUUUAUCCAAGUAAGUAUUCUGACUAAGUCCUAUUAGUCUCUUACUUCAGUCUCUCACUAUCCUUAUUCCCAGAAUAUAGGAAGCCUCUCCGAGGUCCUUCAUAGUGAAGCACUUCCCUAGCCAGGACUUAACUUCAUGUAGUGUCGGGAUGUCGUUUCCUAUGACCAGUAUGUCAUCGACAUACAAUACGAGGAAGCUAACUAUACUCCCACUGGCUUUAACAUAUACACAUGAUUCAUCUUCGCUUUGUACAAACCCAAACUCUUUGACUUUCUCAUCGAAUCAAAGCUUCCAUCUGCGAGAUGCUUGCUUAAGUCCAUAAAUGGACUUAUCAAGCUUGCACACCCUAUUGGGAUGCUUCUCAUUGACAAAACCCUCUGGUUGAGUCAUGUAAAAAUCCUCAGCCAACUUCCCAUUAAGGACAGCGGUUUUGAUAUCCAUUUGCCAUAUUUCAUAAUCAUGAAAUGCAGCAAUGGCCAACAUCACCCUAAUAGACUUUAUUUUGGCAACUGGUGAGAAGGUCUCAUCAUAGUCAACUCCGGGAGUUUGAGUAAAUCCCUUCGCAACCAUUUGUGCCUUAUAUGUGUGCACCUUUCCAUCCAUGUCGGUCUUCUUCUUGAAGAUCCACUUGCACCCAACCGUCUUACGUCCAGGCACAUGGUCAACCAAAUUCCAAACUUGGUUGUCAUACAUGGACUGAAUCUCGCUGUCCAUCGCCUCUUUCCAUUUUGCAGACUCCGGGCCUGCCAUGGCUUCCUUAUAGCUGUUAGGUUCAUCUAAAUUUAUUAGUAUACUAUCACUAAUAUAUGUGUCCCCUUCUGUAGUAAUAUGAAAACCAUAUAACUGGGGUUGAACUCUAACUCUUUUGGAACGUCUAAGAGGUAAGGACUCGUCAAUCGGUUCAACCAGAGUUUCCUCCUCGGGUUGAGCUCCAACGUUAGAGGUUCCUUCAUCGCUCGACUCUUGAAUCUAUUCAAGAUCGAUUUGCCUCCCACUUUCCCCUUGGCUUAUGACUUCUCGCUCUCGGAAAACCCCUCUCUUUACAACGAAGACAACAUUGUCACUCGGUCUAUAGAAGACAUAUCUAAAGGAUUUCUGCGGGUAGCCGAUGAAAAUACACCGCUCAUUACGAGGUUCAAGCUUGUUGUGAGUCUCUCAUCUUACGAAAGCUUCGAAACCCCAAACCUUGAUAUGUGCCAACAAGGGACCUUUCCCUGUCCACAUCUCGUGAGGUGUUUUGGCAACCUUCUUUGUAGGGACUAAGUUAAGGAUAUGGGCAGCAGUCUCUAAGGCAUAACCCCAGAAUGAGAUAGGUAGUGAAGCACGACUCAUCAUGGAACGAACCAUGUCCAACAAGGUUCGAUUACGCCUCUCAGCCACACCGUUCAAUUGCGGUGUCCUAGGUGGCGUCAAUUGCGAAACUAUUCUGCAUUCCUUGAGGUAGUCGUGGAAUUCAAGACUUAGGUACUCUCCUCCUCGAUCGGAUCGAAGCAUCUUGAUCUUCCUGCCCAAUUGAUUCUCCACUUCUUGUUUAAACUCUUUGAACUUUUCAAAGGUUUCUGACUUGUGCUUGAUUAAAUAGAUAUACCCAUAUCUACUAUAAUCAUCAGUGAAAGUCACAUAGAAGCGGUUCGCAUCCCUUGUGGUGGAUCUAAAGGGCCCACACACAUUGGUGUGUAUGAGAUCCAAUAGACCCUCACCCCUAGCACAAGUGCCAGAGAAUGGUUACUUGGUCAUCUUUCUAAGUAAACAAGAAUCUCACACAUCAUCAUCCCUAAGGUCAAAUGACUCCAACACUCCAUCCUUUUGGAGUUGGGCUAUGCAUUUCUUGUUGACAUGUACAAGACGACAAUGACACAUGCAUGCUUUAUCCAUAAUACUGGAAGAAUCCACACACAAUACAUCAUUUCCUAGGUUAUCUACAACCAUAGCAGUUUCAUAAAUUUCAUUACAAGGCAAUGCUUCAAAAUAUAAAACACCAUUUAGGUAAGCAUAAAUUGAACCAUUCUCAUUAUGAAAUGAAUAUCUAAACCCUUGUCUAAACAAACCAUGAAAUGAAAUGAUGUUUCUAUUUAAAUCUAAACCUAACCCAUUACUAAGCGCUAAAGAAUACAUUCCAAUCUUGGUAACAGGCGACGAUCUUCUGUUCCCCAUGAUUAGAUUUAUUCUUCCACGCUCUACAUCCCUAUCUCUUUUUAGUCGUUGCAAAUCAGAACAUAUGUGAAAACUACAUCCUGUAUCAAGAACCCAAGAAAUAGCAUGUGAUGAAUCAUUAGAUUUAAAUGUGUAAAUACCUGCGAAAGACGGCUUGAUCUUUCCAUCAUUGAUGGCUUGCAGAUAUUUCGGGCAACUUCUUUUCCAAUGCCCUAUUUUGUGGUAGUGGUGGCACUCUACCUCUUUAGGGUUUGAGUUGGGCUUAGCAGAACCGACUUUGGUUCCACUAGAAGAGGUACCAUCUUGGGGUUUACCCUUGUGGUGGCUCUUGGAGGGAGCCUUCCUCUUCUUGCCCCUCCCUUGCCCUAUGGCCAAAACAGGAGCAAAUGUAUUAAAUAAACGGAUGAUUAAUAAUUGAAAAUAUACCUUAAAAAAAGAUAAAUAUAUAUGAAAAAAAUUAUGUAAAAGAUCAAAAUAUAAAACUUUAAAAUAUAAUAAGGCUCAUAAAUUGUAAAUUAUAAAAUACCAUCAAUUUAAUUUUAAAAAUAUAAAUUGUUGUAUGAAAAUUACUUACAUGUAAAAAAAAAUACGCAUGCAAAAAUCUGCUUAGAAAUAAAAUAUCUACUUCCAUAUCUUCAUCUUCAUCUUCAUGCUUAAUAAAAGCCUCCUUAAAUGCCACUUGUCUAUUUUUUACACAAGCCUUCUGCCACGUGUCAUUUUUUUUGUUCACUCUGAUUUUGGUUUCCCGCUCAAAUUCUUCUAUGUAAAGUUAUUAUAUCCGAUAUCCGAUUUUUUAUUUUUGAUUACAAAAUAUCUCAUAAAAUCAGCAACAAAUAUUCCACAAAUCAAGCUAAUAGCAAGAAAUCAGGAGCAAAAUUUUGAAUGAGAUCUUAGGCUGUCUUCCAAUAUAUGAGACGAUGUGCGAUCUAGGUUUUUUUUUUAUGAUUGCGAUUACUCUCUUAACUCCUAAGCCCUAAUCGACCAUUUAUCUACAAUCUACAUAGAAAACUGAAAAUUAGCGGUACAUUAUUUCUCCUACGUCUUCUUCCUUGAUUUUGUUUAUCAGACUGCUUCAUCUAUGUAUUUUCUUCCUUUCGUUUUGUAAAGCUUUCAGGAAAAUGAUACAUAUAUCUAAAACCGAUUCAAAACUUACCUGAAGCACAGUAACCAUGAAGCUUAUGAGCCACUGUGAAAUCAGAUAUAUAUUUUUGAAGUUUUGUUUUCAUAACUUGUAAAAGGAAAAAGGCUAAUAGAUCCAACUUUUGUGAAACGGUGCAAAAAUAAUGUUUCUUGGGGUUUUGUUGUUAGAAUUUAUAAAUAAAAAAAUUAGUACUUGUGCUUUUUCGAUUGCAAAAUAAAAUAGUGAAGUAAAGGAGAUUCCUUUGAUAGGGAGAUACUGAUAAGAGAAGGCGGGACACAGGAUGAAGCCACGAACUAUGUUGUUGCUGCUGGUGUUCAAUGGUUUCUUGAAGAUAUUCGAUUUGUUCCUUAUAAACCAACAGGUAGCCUUCUUAACAUAUUUUUUUUCUGUAUAUUUCUUUCUCUUUAUCUUUCGAAUUUACUUUUUCACAUAUGAACUUUCUGACUAUGCAUAUUAACUAUUUGAUAAAAUGUCUCAAUGAACAAAUACAACUUAAAGUAUGUCCGGUAAAUAUCGUAUUUUUUUAAAUGAAUUCACAAUAAUUGGUAUCAAGCCUCAACUGAUGAGGGUGGUACUGAUGGUUAGAAAUUUGGGGACACAUGUGUGACUAAGUCCCACUUACGGUCUGAUUAACAAAUACAGUUUGGUUGUUGUUAUUGGAAACUUCACAAUUAUUUUGUAUAAUGACCUCAUAAAUAUUCAUUGGUACAUAGAAAACUUAAUGGUAUAUGGUUGUUUGUAGUUAGGACCAUGGUGCUAUUGGGCGGCAAUUCUAGGGUACCUCUGACUUUGGAGAACCAAUUUUUUUAAAUGAAAAGUUUGUUAAAGUGUUAUUGCUAUGGUUUUGAUGCUUAUUUGUUGCUCUAUUUAUAUAGAAUUAGGGAUAUAUAGGUGUGUUGAUUAACACAUGUAUUUAUUAUCUUAUCAUAGAAUCUAAUGCAUUUCUUCUUAGAUUGAAGGUCUUGAUGGACAUAUUAUUAUGGGCAUACCAACGCUCAUUGGAACAUGAACGGUUAAAUUUAAAAAAAGGUAAUCAUACACAUACAUAAACAAUAUGAUAUUACAUUUUUUGUCCCUUACCUAUAGUUUCCUUUUCUCAAAAUAAGGUUAUUUACUUUUUUUUUUUGAAGAAUAUGAAGAAAAAUGGCAAAAACACCACAAGCUAUUGGCCUUGGUAUCAAAAGAUGGAACAAAUUGUUGAGAAUUGAUUUCCCUUAAAAGUUGUAGUGGAUGAAGAUAUUGCUAUAGGAGGAAUCCAUGGAUAAUGAGUUUUUAGAAAGAAUAAAAAAGAUGCCAAAGGCACAUACAGAAAGAGAAUUUUAGAGCAUUUGGGAUAUCUUCAUCUUCUUAGACGGGAACAACUAGACGACUUAUUUCGGGUCGUAGAAUGAGCAAGCAACAAGGUUUGCUUAAGUAGUAACAAACUUUCCUUUGAUUUUGUUAUUUAUAACAGUCUACUUCUAUUAUUAACUAAAAAUAUGUUAAUAUUCGUUGCAUUUAGACGAAAUUAUGUUAGUAUUCAUUGCAUUUAACACUGAUACAUAUAUUCCAAAAUCAACAUUGCUCAAACAGGUAUCAAAAUCAAAAAAUUGGGUGUUAGAUUUUACUACAUUUAUUUUAAUGUUGUUGUAUCUGAACUUUCAUGUGUUGGUUUAGGUAUGUUAGAUUAUUCUAUUCAUUUUAUUAAAACAUAUAUUAAUUAAAAUUAUUUUUUGUAUGAUUUGUUUUUUUUUCUAUGAAUAUAUUCAGGAUCAUCAAGGAAUGUCGAAUAUAGCACCAACUAAUACUCUGUUGUUCCACCUGUGCAUUACCAAGGGUGAAAGUGGAUUUAUGGAGGAUUCUGAAAUUGUUUUAGAUUAAUGGAAGAUUCUGAGAAUGUUUCGGAAGCUAGAAUUCAAGAAUUCAUAAAUAAUCUUCGGAUUUUAUAUCCCAAAACGCUCUUUUCCACGUAAUAAUAUAAACUUCUUUGUCACCUUUUCACUUUACAUGUAAGUUUUGAGGAUUUUUUUUUUAUCUAAUUGGAUGUUUAGUUGACAUGUAGUAGUGGAAUAACUUCUAAUAUAGUGUAUUAUAGCAUCUUACUUUCUAAAUAUACCAACUUAAGGCAGUGAAAAUGCUUUGUAAAUUGGAUGAAACUUCUUUAAAUGGGUUAAUUUUUCAGCCACAAUGUUGAUAAAAAGGAAAGUAGAAUGCUAUAAUUUCGAUAAAUUUUUCGAAGUACAUUGUCUUAAUAAGAAUACUACCACUACUUGGAUCUACCAAUUAUUUUCAGGACUUGUAAAAACCGGUUGAUAAUAAAAAUUAAUUGACAGAGAUGUUGGAUUUUUUUUCUUUAUCAAUUUCUUCUUACAGUGUUUGUUCCAGAAGUUUUCUAUUGAAUUAUCGGAUUGUCCACAUAGAAACUUAGCAAUUUCUACCCAUCUGCAAAUACAAAAAAUGAAUAACUAUUUAAGUCCACAAUAAUUAAAAACUUCAAAUAUGUUGAAUACUUUUGUUCUAACAUUAUUCCUUGAAAAACUACGUAUAUUUAAUUUUAGUUUUUUACAAAUGAAGCUGUGAGUUUGAGCCAAAUUAACUAAAUUCAUGCCACAAAUUUGUUUUGUUAUACAGUUAAGCUGAUUUGUAGAUAGACGUAGACAUCCUCGAGUUCUUGGUGAGCAAGAGAAAGUUAGUAUUUACCAAACAUAUUCAAGAAAAACUUUUUAUCCUUAUUGUUUUAAUUCAUGUUUUCUGUAAAAACAAUCAUUGAUCAGAGUUUGGUGUGUUUUUCUGAUUUGUGUUUGAGGUGUUCAUAUUUGAUUUUAAGUUUAAUGAUUGACUUUGAAUUUUGUUGCAGUCUCUGAAAAAAUAAAGUUUGACUUAGAAAACAUGAUAAAAACAGUGGAAGCUCAUGUGAAUACAUUUGAUUUUGCCUUCGGUAAGUAUGACUACAUUUGUAAAAUAUCUUGCAUUAUAGAUGCUAAAAAUAUGUUCAAUAUCAUAUUUUAUAUAAAAAUGUGGCCAAUGACAUAUUUUAUACUAAAGUCAAAAUGAGAAGUAAUUAUCAAGAUUAAAUACGUAAUCAAUUAAAGUCAAAGUUGAGACGGGAGAGAUAUAACCCUUUUCUAAUAAGGUUUUUUUUUAUAAUAUUUUAAUAAUCAAAAUUAUUAACAUAAAAUAUAAAAUGUAAAACAUAAUUAUUGUAUAUAAAGUUAUGUUUUACAUGUUUUAAAUAUUUUUUUAUUAUACAUAAGAAUUAAGAUCUUUUAAACAAGAGUAAAUUACACAAAUGGUCUCUAUGGUUUGGGGUAAUUUGUGCGUUUGGUCCCUAACUUAUUUUUUUUAACUCGGAAAGUCCCUACUGUUUGUUUUUGUCACAUGCUUGGUCCUUACUAUUUGUUUUUGUUAUGCGUUUGGUUUCUGUCUUACAUAAAAAGACUAUUAUUUAAAUAUGAAAAAAUGGUAGGGUAGGUAAGGUAAGGUGAGAAGGUGGGGUUAUGGGUGUUUAUUUAAAUAAAUUAAAAAAUCAAGGACAAAAUAGUUUUUUUUGAUAAGACAGGACCAAACGCGUAACAAAAACAAACAGUAGGGACCUUCCGAGUUAAAAAAAUAAGUUACGGACCAAACAUGUAAAUUACCAUAAACCACAGGGACCAUUCAUGUAAUUUACUCUUUAAACAAAGAUUUUUAUAUGAUUUUGACUUUUUUAUUUUAACUACCAAAAAUAAAAUGUCAAAAUAAAUAAGAUAUGAAAUUACAAUAUUGUUUUCUUCUUUUAAAUUAAUACUAUUUUUCAAACUAAAAUUGAAGCACAAUGUUAUUAACUAAAUUAUGUGUAUUUAUGGUUAAGACUAUUUUUUUUAUAAUGCCUAUGUUAUUUAAUAUUAUCCUAUGUAUAUACGGGUUAUAACUUAAUAAAUACUUAUAUUUCACAAAUUGUAUUGUAUGAUAUUAAAAUAAUAAAAUUUAAUCUUAAUUUAAACAUCUGUCAUUUUGCAAAUCAAUAUAUCCUUUCCAAAUAAAGAUCGGGUAUUUAUGUCUUCAGAUGUGGAAAGAAGCUACUAGAAGCUCCUGGUAUCCUUCUCUCUUCCCCGAUCAUUCCAGAAUUAUCUUCUUCUUCCUCCUCUCCUUAUUCCUCUCUACGUUAUAAAUCCAUCAUUGAAAUGAUCGUUUGGUCAUUCGUCACUCAUAGAAGUUCUCGAUUCAUACUUGUUUUUUUCAAUCGCGCUCGAAUUUUAGAAACAGAUCGUUAACAGAGGUCGAAAUGGAUAUCAGUUUGAUGGGUUUCGACACGCCGUUCUUCCGCAACCUCCACCACAUCCUCGAUGCCACCGAAGACACCAACACCAACAGCAAAUCAAGCAACGCCGGACCUACUCGCGCUUACUUACGUGACGCCAGAGCAAUGGCUGCAACUCCGGCGGAUGUGAAGGAGUAUCCCAGCUCUUACGUUUUCAUCGUCGACAUGCCGGGUUUGAAGUCCGGAGAUAUCAAGGUU
rnacentral:lncRNA from 1 species